UACAGAGGUCCCAAGCGUUGUUCGGAUUUACUGGGCGUAAAGGGUGCGUAGGCGGUUGGGUAAGUCUGACGUGAAAUCUCCGGGCCUAACCCGGAAACUGCGUUGGAUACUACCUGACUAGAGGAAUGGAGGGGAGACUGGAAUACUUGGUGUAGCAGUGAAAUGCGUAGAUAUCAAGUGGAACACCAGUGGCGAAGGCGAGUCUCUGGACAUUUCCUGACGCUGAGGCACGAAGGCCAGGGGAGCAAACGGG
rnacentral:rRNA from 1 species